rnacentral:misc_RNA from 1 species
UCCCUGUUACCAGGGCAGUCUAGCUAGAAAAAUUCAACUAACUAUAAGGGUUGCGCUCGUUGAUGGACUUAACCAAACAUCUCACGACACGAGCUGACGACGGCCAUGCAACACCUGUCACUUGGCUCAAUAAAGCACUCUCUCCUUUCGGAGAAAUUCCAAGGAUGUCAAGCCUGGGUAAGGUUCUUCGCUUACCAUCGAAUUAAACAACACGCUCCACCGCUUGUGCGGGUCCCCGUCAAUUCCUUUAUGUUUUAGCCUUGCGGCCGUACUCCACAGGCGGGAUGCUUAACGCGUUAGCUUCGCUACUAACCGGGUCGAUACAGUUAACAGCUAGCAUCCAUCGUUUACGGCGUGGACUA